UAACGGUCCUAAGGUAGCGAAAUUCCUUGUCGGGUAAGUUCCGACCCGCACGAAUGGCGUAACGAUGGCCACACUGUCUCCUCCCGAGACUCAGCGAAGUUGAAGUGGUUGUGAAGAUGCAAUCUACCCGCUGCUAGACGGAAAGACCCCGUGAACCUUUACUGUAGCUUUGCAUUGGACUUUGAAGUCACUUGUGUAGGAUAGGUGGGAGGCUUAGAAGCAGAGACGCCAGUCUCUGUGGAGCCGUCCUUGAAAUACCACCCUGGUGUCUUUGAGGUUCUAACCCAGACCCGUAAUCCGGGUCGGGGACCGUGCAUGGUAGGCAGUUUGACUGGGGCGGUCUCCUCCCAAAGAGUAACGGAGGAGUUCGAAGGUUACCUAGGUCCGGUCGGAAAUCGGACUGAUAGUGCAAUGGCAAAAGGUAGCUUAACUGCGAGACCGACAAGUCGAGCAGGUGCGAAAGCAGGACAUAGUGAUCCGGUGGUUCUGUAUGGAAGGGCCAUCGCUCAACGGAUAAAAGGUACUCCGGGGAUAACAGGCUGAUUCCGCCCAAGAGUUCAUAUCGACGGCGGAGUUUGGCACCUCGAUGUCGGCUCAUCACAUCCUGGGGCUGUAGUCGGUCCCAAGGGUAUGGCUGUUCGCCAUUUAAAGUGGUACGUGAGCUGGGUUUAAAACGUCGUGAGACAGUUUGGUCCCUAUCUGCAGUGGGCGUUGGAAGUUUGACGGGGGCUGCUCCUAGUACGAGAGGACCGGAGUGGACGAACCUCUGGUGUACCGGUUGUAACGCCAGUUGCAUAGCCGGGUAGCUAAGUUCGGAAGAGAUAAGCGCUGAAAGCAUCUAAGCGCGAAACUCGCCUGAAGAUGAGACUUCCCUUGUGGUUUAACCACACUAAAGAGUCGUUCGAGACCAGGACGUUGAUAGGUGGGGUGUGGAAGCGCGGUAACGCGUGAAGCUAACCCAUACUAAUUGCUCGUGAGGCUUGACUCU
rnacentral:rRNA from 1 species